CUAAUGUCACGAACACGUCUCCACGUCAAUAGACAUUUGAUAGACACCUUCCCAAAAAUUUUAAUUUUAUUUUAGCGCCCUCUUUUUCCUAUUAGGCGCCUUAAUUUCAUAUGAAAAAUUCCACCAGUUUUCAAUUUUGUUGGUAAAGUUAGCGGCUGCCUCUCAAAUUCUAUAUCUCCACAAAACUCUAUCUCCGUCUCUUUGCCUAUAUUCUCCCGAUCUCUCAAACUCUCAGUCCUCUUACGGUCUCUCGUUCAUUGAGCUUGAUUUGGAUUGGUCUCUCUCAGUUGUCGGGCUUUGUUUUUGGGUUCUCUGCAUCUGCCGGUGACGAGCCUCACACUCACCACCACGGCUGCGGUUACGGCAUCGGACACGGCCAUGGCCACGAAGAGGAGAAAUCUGGUCCUUGACAAAACCAUCAGAGACUGGGUUCUCAUCUUCCUUACCGCUUCUUUUACAACUGCUGCCCCCACGCAGCCUUAUUGUGAUUUUAUCUAUUUGUUAUUGGAUAAUGUAGCUUAAUCUUUAACCGUUGGAUUGAUUUUAGAGGAAAAAGAAAAGAACAAUUUUUGCAUGCUUGAAAGUUAAUUCCUUGUUUGUUGCUUAAUGUUGAUGAUGAUUGUAUUUAACUGGCAGGGUUAUGUGUUAAAUUGGAUACAUAGUUUCACUAUCAGGUUUGGAUUCCCAGUGUUGGUUUAAGGUAUUGGUCGGCUUAAAGAAAUCAAGGGACAACAGUUCAAAACUUUUGAAGGCUAGAAAAUUUACGGCGUUUCAAAGGGAUUGUAAGAUUGCAAAUAAUGACCCAAGCUUAUCAUGUUACAAAGCAAGCUACAACUAUAUUGAGCUAUCUUCACUCAUGGAGCAAAGUACAUGCUGAUGUUAAAGCUCACCAACUCUGUAUGGUAACAGAAGACGGAUCAAGCAAAACAAAUAGAGAGUCAACAAAAACUUUAGGCGAAGUUUCAUUAUAUAAAGGAAAAUGGAUUUUUAAUUGUUCCUAAAGGUCAGGCACAGAAUCACAACCACGACCACGACCACAAGCCUCACACUCAUUGGUGUAUAAUGUAUACGACCAUUCAACUAACUUUAAGUAAAACUAUAUUGGUGUUUUCAUAAUUUUGUCGUACUUGUAUAUGAUAAUACAAUGCAAAUUUUUCAAUAAUAAUAUGUUUCUAGUUUGUAAAA